GCCUCGGUAGUGUAAUAGAUCAUCACGGCAGACCGGUGCUUGUCUGUAAGUGCGGGUUCGAGUCCGGCCUGAGGUG
rnacentral:tRNA from 1 species